CCUACGGGCGGCAGCAGUGAGGGAUAUUGGUCAAUGGGGGAAACCCUGAACCAGCAACGCCGCGUGAGGGAAGACGGUUUUCGGAUUGUAAACCUCUGUCCUCUGUGAAGAUGAUGACGGAGGCAGAGGAGGAAGCUCCGGCUAACUACUUACCAGCAGCCGCGGUAAUACUGCGGGAGCAAGCGUUGUUCGGAGUUACUGGGUGUAAAGGGGGCGUUGGAGGCUUUGCUAGUCAGAAGUGAAAUCCAUGGGCUUAACCCAGGAACUGCUUUUGAAACUGCAGAGCUUGAGUGGAGGAGAGGUAGGCGGAAUUCCCGGUGUAGCGGUGAAAUGCGUAGAGAUCGGGAGGAACACCAGUGGCGAAGGCGGCAUACCGGCGCCCGACUGACGCUGAGGCACGAAAGCGUGGGGAUCGAACAGGAUUAGAUACCCGAGUAGUC
rnacentral:rRNA from 1 species